AACGAACGCUGGCGGCGUGCCUAACACAUGCAAGUCGAACGUGAUUAGAGAGCUUGCUCUCUAUGAAAGUGGCGCCCGGGUGAGUAACGGGUAGAAAAUCUACCUGAUGAUUCGGGCUAACACUUGGAAAGGGGUGCUAAUACCGGAUAAGUCCAAGGAGUCCUUGGACAUGUCGGGAAAAGGAGGGGACCUUCGGGCCUCACGUAACCAGAUGAGUCUGCGUACCAUUAGCUAGUUGGUAGGGUAAAGGCCUACCAAGGCGACGAUGGUUAGCUGGUCUGAGAGGAUGAUCAGCCACACUGGAACUGAGACACGGUCCAGACUCCUACGGGAGGCAGCAGUGGGGAAUUUUGCGCAAUGGGGGAAACCCUGACGCAGCAACGCCGCGUGAGUGAUGAAGGCCCUUGGGUCGUAAAGCUCUGACAGAGGGAAAGAAAUGUGGGUGGCUAAUAUCCAUACCACUUGACGGUACCCUAAAAGGAAGCACCGGCUAACUCCGUGCCAGCAGCCGCGGUAACAC
rnacentral:rRNA from 1 species